CGAAACCCCAUCUCUACUAAAAAUACAAAAAUUAGCCAGGCGUGGUGGCACGUGCCUGUAGUCCCAGCUACUCGAAGGCUUAGGCAGGAGAAUCGCUUGAAUCAGAGACAGGGAGGCUGCAAUGAGCCGAGAUUGCACCACUGCACUCCAGCCUGGGCGACAGUGCAAGACUCCAUCUCAAAAAUAAAGAGGAAUUGGAGGAGGAAAUAAAUGAAUAAAUGACAAAGGUGACAAAGGACCAAAGAUCUGUGACUUGUGCAAAGAUUGCUCUGUGGUUGCUGCAGGUCUAGAAGAUGUCACAGAAUUUCAAGGAAGAGAGGUGAGCAGCUGCUGUGGUGAUUUUGAAAUUGUUUGUGUGUGUUGUGGCCA
rnacentral:lncRNA from 10 species